rnacentral:rRNA from 1 species
CACGUUAAACAACCUGCCUUCAGGAUGGGGACAACAGACGGAAACGACUGCUAAUACCGAAAUACGCUUGGGAGACCGCAUGAUCUUCCAAGGAAAGGGUGGCCUCUACCUGUAAGCUAUCGCCUGAAGAGGGGUUUGCGUCUGAUUAGGCAGUUGGUGAGGUAACGGCCCACCAAACCUACGAUCAGUAGCCGGUCUGAAAGGAUGAACGGCCACACUGGAACUGAGACACGGUCCAGACUCCUACGGGAGGCAGCAGUGGGGAAUCUUCCGCAAUGGGCGAAGGCCUGACGGAGCACCGCCGCGUGGAGUGAAUGAACGGCCUUCGGGUUGUAAAGCUCCUGUGAUCGGGGACGAACGGUCCGUAAGCUAAUACUUUAUGGAAGUGACGGUACCCGAAUAGCAAGCCACGGCUAACUACGUGCCAGCAGCCGCGGUAAUACGUAGGUGGCAAGCGUUGUCCGGAAUUAUUGGGCGUAAAGCGCGCGCAGGCGGCUUUCUAAGUCCAUCUUAAAAGUGCGGGGCUUAACCCCGUGAUGGGAUGGAAACUGGAAAGCUGGAGUAUCGGAGAGGAAAGUGGAAUUCCUAGUGUAGCGGUGAAAUGCGUAGAGAUUGGGAAGAACACCGGUGGCGAAGGC